GGGUCGAUGGCGUAGCUGGUUAUCGCAUCUGUCUAACAUAGCUAUCAAGGCUACGUAUGUACACAGAAGGUCCUCAGUUCGAACCUGGGUCGACUCA